rnacentral:sRNA from 1 species
UCCAAGGUUGCCAAGCAGUGACUCUCUUCACGUGACAUUCCUAGAUCUUCCCGAGGUCUUCAACCCCUUCCUUGCCUUGCCCACCGAAUAAAUCUGGGACAAAUUUUGCUAGCAAUGUUGUUUACAAUAUUCAUCCUGGUGGUGAAGGCGUGGAAGGGCUGGGGUUGAAGGUCCAUACCUGAUCCAGUCAACCUUGACUUUUCUGGUCCGGCGGGGUCCUGCUCGCCCAAGCUUGAGGUCUGGAUACUAUAUCGAGCAUCCAUUAGGACCAUUAGGACGUUCGAGAGGAGACAACCAGAAAAGGCUCGUAAUGCACACAAUCCCCCACUCUUUCUCCAUUGAAUCUCAAAUCUAUUACCGCUUUUGUGGUGAUAUGGCAGCUGCUCUACGUCCAGAGUUGUCGACCAUAUCUGCUGAGUGGGAAUGUAGAUGUUGGUGGGAUGAAAAGUGUUUUGGGAGAAUUAGAGAAGUCCGUGGGCUGUGGUAAGAAAAAUUAUUCUUUGCAAUGAGCUAGGGUCAAACCACAUGAAGAAGGGGAAUCAUAUUUAAAAGGCUUUAUGAAGUGGAAAAUCCUGUAAGAUGAACAAAUUCCAGGGUGGUGUGGAUUGGACUGCACUGCAACUACUGAAAAUCCAUUGGCUGUGUUGUGAUUCCCCUCAAGGCAAACUUUCACUUUCUUCUCUACUAACUAUGUUCAGAUCUCACUAAAGGCUAUCUGAAUAUACCCAGGACUUCCCACAAGCCAACACAGGUCACUUGAGAAAGAAGUCGGAUCAGAAGAGCAAAACUAAACUAUGACACUGAAAAUACAAAGACAUCUGUCCUUGCCACAACUUGCCAUCUGUGAAAGUAUAGGAAACACCACUUGUAUCUUUCAA